GUGUUGUAUGAAAGGAGAGACGGUUAGCACUCCUCUAGACAUGGAUGGAACACAUAUAAGGUUGAGGCACCAGCCGGCACGGUAGCUCAGCGUGUUC